GACCGCUCCGCUGGCCUAGUGGUUAGAGCGUCCGCCUCAGGUGCGGUUGGUCCUGAGUUCGAACCACGGCCAAGUCA